rnacentral:rRNA from 1 species
AUUGAACGCUGGCGGCAGGCCUAUCACAUGCAAGUCGAACGAGUGGCGGACGGGUGAGUAAUGUCUGGGAAACUGCCUGAUGGAGGGGGAUCACUACUGGAAACGGUAGCUAAUACCGCAUACCAUCGGAUGUGCACAGAUGGGAUUCGCUAGUCGGUGGGGUAAAGGGUCACCUAGGCGACGAUCCCUAGCUGGUCUGAGAGGGUGACCAGCCACACUGGAACUGAGACACGGUCCAUACUCCUACGGGAGGCAGCAGGGGGAAAUAUUGCACAAUGGGCGCAAGCCUGAUGCAGCCAUGCCGCGUGGAUGAAGAAGGCCUUCGGGUUGUAAAGUACUUUCAGCGGGGAGGCGUUACCCGCAGAAGAAGCACCGGCUAACUCCGUGCCAGCAGCCGCGGUAAUUC